UUUACUCCCCCCCCCCUCUCAGACACACACACCACACACAACGCCACCCAUCUCGCAUUUCUUCGGAUUGCCUGUCACCCCCUUCCUACGGAGCCUUCAUUAAAAAUUAGCGAAAAAAAAAAGAAGUCUGAAGGUACACCGUGACGACGAACAAACUCAUGAGCACCGUAGCCGAGCUGCAAGCUCAACUUGAUGCACUGCGUGCCCGCAACGCACAAGAGGUAGAGGCGGCCCAGGCCACACUCGCCAAGCUGCAGCAGGACCUCAAUUAUAUGCAGGAGGACACGGAAGCCCUCGAGAGAGAGGAGGAGGAGCUCUGCAAGCAAUUCGGCAAGAGUCGCGGCACCGACACUGCGUUGUCCGCAAGCCAGCACACCGACAUCAUCGCUCAAGGGCUAUGUGCUCUCGUAGAGUGUGACGAUAGUAAGUGCUGCUGAGGGCGCGAAGGGUACAAGGAGUGGCACUGUGGUAAAGCUCACCCUUUCCGGUCAGUUCCCGCUCUGGGAUGCCCAUCACUCUCUCUAUCUCCGCUUCUCGACCCCCCACUACGCGCCCAGUGUCUCUCUCUCUCUUUGGGGCGUCUGCGUAUUUGUGUGUUUCGGUGCACUCUCGUUUUUUUAUCUGCUCCCGUGCGCUUGCGGCUCGUGGUGCAGUAAAGUCCAAGCAGAGGGGGUGAGAAAGAGAAAACCCCUUCAGCGGUGUGUCGCAGUGUCGCCUCCGGCACAAAAAAAAGCACCUGUCAUUGGUAUCGUCACAUUCAUCGAUAGCUGCCACACCACUGCAGAGCGCUGCUUCCAGCUUGCUCACCUUCUGACUCUCUUCGCAUAUUUCGCCCUCUGUCGCUCCUGACGAAGUGACCUUGCAUCUCCUCUUCCGUAUUGCCCUUCUACUUCUGCGCCCCUGCUUAUGCAUUUCCUGUCGGCGUUACUGCGUUGGUCUUUCAUCUCUCCAACGGUGUUGUGGUUGUGUGGGCCUGCCUGCCCCCCCCCCACACACCCUCCGCUGCAUCACAUCUCUCUGUGCCUGCAUGCGCACUGUCACUCAG
rnacentral:misc_RNA from 1 species